rfam:Triticum urartu cultivar G1812 contig162799, whole genome shotgun sequence.
GUAGUACUCCCUCCGUUCCAAAUUACUCGUCGCAGAAAUGAAUGUAUCUAGAACUAAAAUACAUCUAGAUACAUUCAUACAUGCGUCAAGUAAUUCAGAACGGAGGGAGUAGUAA